ACUACGGGUGGCAGCAGUGGGGGAUAUUGCACAAUGGGGGAAACCCUGAUGCACCGCCGCCGCUUGUGCUCCUCCUUUUUUCUUUCUUUCCCUCCCUUUCUUCCUUUCCUCCCAAAUGACGAUACCUGAGUAAUAAGCACCGGCUAACUACGUGCCAGCAGCCGCGGUAAUACGUAUGGUGCAAGCGUUAUCCGGAUUUACUGGGUGUAAAGGGAGCGCAGGCGGCACGGCAAGCCUGAUGUGAAAGCCAGCGGCCCAACCGUGGAACUGCAUUGGGAACUACGGGGCUGGAGUGCCGGAGAGGCAGGCGGAAUUCCUGGGGUAGCGGUGAAAUGCGUAGAUAUUAGGAGGAACACCAGUGGCGAAGGCGGCCUACUGGACGGUGACUGACGCUGAGGCUCGAAAGCGUGGGGAGCAAACAGGAUUAGAGACAAGAGUAGUC
rnacentral:rRNA from 1 species